rnacentral:ncRNA from 1 species
GAGACAGUUCGGUCCCGUAUCCGCUGUGCGCGUAGGAGUCUUGAGAAGGGCUGUCCCUAGUACGAGAGGACCGGGACGGACGAACCUCUGGUGUGCCAGUUGUUCUGCCAAGGGCAUGGCUGGUUGGCUACGUUCGGGAGGGAUAACCGCUGAAAGCAUCUAAGCGGGAAGCCUGCUUCGAGAUGAGGACUCCCACCUCCUAGAGAGGGUAAGGCUCCCAGUAGACGACUGGGUUGAUAGGCCGGAUAUGGAAGCACGGUAGCGUGUGGAGUUGACCGGUACUAAUAGGCCGAGGGCUUGUCCUC